rnacentral:rRNA from 1 species
UACGGAGGGAGCGAGCGUUGUUCGGAAUUACUGGGCGUAAAGCGUGUGUAGGCGGCUUCGUAAGACAGGUGUGAAAUCCCAGGGCUUAACCCUGGAACUGCAUUUGUGACUGCAAGGCUUGAGUAUCGGAGAGGUUGGCGGAAUUCCCAGUGUAGCAGUGAAAUGCGCAGAUAUUGGGAGGAACACCGAUGGCGUAAGCAGCCAACUGGACGAUUACUGACGCUGAGAUACGAAAGUAUGGGGAGCAAACAGG